UAAGUCGCGUGUCAAACAUCUAACGAGGUAAGGAAAAAUAUCUAACUGACCGGGUAAGUGAUAAGCACUGUUCCCUUACUUCCUCAGUAAGUAUUCUCUGUCUAUAUAAGGAUGAGGUGAAGGGAAAAUCCACUCGCCUUUAGGAUGAGAUUGGAACGAGAGGAAGAGCUUUGAGAUGCCCCUGUUAAGGUAAGUUUCGCAGCCUUACUGUCAUGAGAGCAAGUCUGUUUAGCUUAGUAAUGAAAAUGGUAAAACUUUGUUGUACGAUUCUGAUAUUCGAGUGAGAAAGGAAAUGAACUGAAUGGAAAGAUCGUGACGAGUUUUCUGUGGUUUAACAUUUCGAGGCUGCUAAUCUACUCGAUGGAAAUCCAGAGUUGAUGUUUGAAGCUGCCAAAGGAAGACCAUAUAGUGUAAGACCUAAUUUGGGACUAUAGCAUCAUAUAAGGAUACGAAGACCACAUAGUGUAACACCUAGUUUGGGACUAUGGCACCAUGUGGGGAAAGAAUAUUAAGGACGGUUGGGCGAGUACCAAGCGAUGAGGGGCAAAUCUCAAAAUGUUGAGUUUAGGCAAAUCCCUAUCAUCGAAAGCACCAUUUACCAAAAUGUGGAAGCCUUUGUGGUUGUUCUCUGAUAAAUGGAAGCCUCUGUGGUUGUCCUCUGUUAUACGUGAGUCUGUGAGUCUUUACGACCAUAUCUAUUAUAUGGAGUCUUAGUGGACGACUCUGCGAAUGCACCUUCGUGGCAAAAUAUGUUAAAGUGGAUGUCUUUAUGGUUGGUUCUGUUCUAUGAGAGCCUUCGAGGCUGUAUCUGUUAAAUGUGCUCCCGUGGUGAAGUCUGUCAAAGUGGACGCCUUUGUGGCCAUCUAAUUAUAUGGACACCUCUAUGGCUAUCUUCUAUAUGAGUUUGGAUGCCCUUGCGGCUAUCUAAUGUGAGUAUGUGCCUUUGUGGCUAUCUAACUAUAUGGACGACUCUAUGGCUAUCUCGUAUAUGUGUUUGGACGCUUUUGUGGCUAUAUAUGUCAAAGGAAGACUUAUGUGGUUAUCUAUGUCAAGGGAAGCGUACGCCUUUAUGGUGGUGAUGUUUUGAAGACAACGUUGAUUGAGCGAACUCCAAAUGAAAGCGCAACCAACGAGCUUGAGAUGAUGAAAGACUGGUGAGGAACAUUUUAUGCUGAAGCGGACGAAGGCUACCUUGUCCACCAGAAUGAAAGGUGAAUUAGAGCGAAUGUCAUGAGUUCAAGCCCCCAAGUGGAACAAUUGUGACCAAGGAGUAUAAAUAAUAGUGCGUCGGGAGACGAUGUCAGGGUUAUGCUAGGAAACAGUGGACUAAGUUGUUACGCAUACGGAGGAAGAAUGAAGGAAGAGGAAAAAUUAUCUUCAUGGUUUAUUUCAAAAUGUAAAGGUAAACAUACAUUGUAUAUGGAGUUAAUCGUAAUAAUAUAUACAAGGUAUUUUAGGAGAAAGAUAUUAAAGAAA